rnacentral:tRNA from 1 species
GAGGGUAUAGCUCAGUGGUAGAGUGCGUGCCUAGCAUGCACACGGUCCUGAUUCAAUCCCCAGUACCUCCA